AGCAUUAUACCGUGAAACUGCGAAUGGCUCAUUAAAUCAGUUAUCGUUUAUUUGAUAGUACCUUACUACUUGGAUACCCGUGGUAAUUCUAGAGCUAAUACAUGCUAAAAACCCCGACUUCGGGAGGGGUGUGUUUAUUAGAUAAAAAACCAACGCCCUUCGGGGCUCCUUGGUGAUUCAUGAUAACCUCUCAGAUCGCACGGCCUUGCGCCGGCGACGGUUCAUUCAAAUUUCUGCCCUAUCAACUUUCGAUGGUAAGGUAUUGGCUUACCAUGGUUUCAACGGGUAACGGGGAAUUAGGGUUCGAUUCCGGAGAGUGAGCCUGAGAAACGGCUCACACAUCCAAGGAAGGCAGCAGGCGCGCAAAUUACCCAAUCCCGACACGGGGAGGUAGUGACAAUAAAUACUGAUACAGGGCUCUUUUGGGUCUUGUAAUUGGAAUGAGUACAAUUUAAACCUCUUAACGAGGAACAAUUGGAGGGCAAGUCUGGUGCCAGCAGCCGCGGUAAUUCCAGCUCCAAUAGCGUAUAUUAAAGUUGUUGCAGUUAAAAAGCUCGUAGUUGAAUCUUUGGCCUGGCUGGCGGGUCCGCCUCACCGCGUGCACUUGUCCGGCCGGGCCUUCUCUUCUGGAGAACCGCAUGCCCUUCAUUGGGCGUGUUGGGGACCAGGACUUUUACUUUGAAAAAAUUAGAGUGUUCAAAGCAGGCCUUUGCUCGAAUACGUUAGCAUGGAAUAAUAGAAUAGGACGUGCGGUCCUAUUUUGUUGGUUUCUAGGACCGCCGUAAUGAUUAAUAGGGACAGUCGGGGGCAUCAGUAUUCAAUUGUCAGAGGUGAAAUUCUUGGAUUUAUUGAAGACUAACUACUGCGAAAGCAUUUGCCAAGGAUGUUUUCAUUAAUCAGUGAACGAAAGUUAGGGGAUCGAAGACGAUCAGAUACCGUCGUAGUCUUAACCAUAAACUAUGCCGACUAGGGAUCGGGCGGUGUUAUCGAUUUGACCCGCUCGGCACCUUGCGAGAAAUCAAAGUGUU
rnacentral:rRNA from 1 species